rnacentral:rRNA from 1 species
UACGUAGGGGGCGAGCGUUGUCCGGAUUAUUGGGCGUAAAGAGCGUGUAGGCGGCCAGGUAGGUCAGCUGUGAAACUCGAGGCUCAACCUCGAGAUGUCGGCUGAAACCAUCUGGCUAGAGUCCGGAAGAGGAGAAUGGAAUUCCCGGUGUAGCGGUGAAAUGCGCAGAUAUCGGGAAGAACACCCGUGGCGAAGGCGGUUCUCUGGGACGGUACUGACGCUGAGACGCGAAAGCGUGGGGAGCGAACAGG